rnacentral:rRNA from 1 species
ACGGGGCCCGCACAAGCGGUGGAGCACGUGGUUUAAUUCGAUGCAACGCGAAGAACCUUACCUGGUCUUGACAUCCCGGAGACCCUUAGGAAACUAGGGGUGCUUCCAUCUGGAAGAAUCUGGAGACAGGUGCUGCAUGGCUGUCGUCAGCUCGUGUCGUGAGAUGUUGGGUUAAGUCCCGCAACGAGCGCAACCCUUGCCUUUAGUUGCCAGCAGUUCGGCUGGGCACUCUAAAGGGACUGCCGGUGUUAAACCGGAGGAAGGUGGGGAUGACGUCAAGUCCUCAUGGCCUUUAUGACCAGGGCUACACACGUACUACAAUGGCCGAUACAAAGGGCAGCGACACUGCGAGGUGAAGCCAAUCCCGUAAAAUCGGUCUCAGUCCGGAUUGGAGUCUGCAACUCGACUCCAUGAAGUUGGAAUCGCUAGUAAUCGUGGAUCAGCAUGCCACGGUGAAUACGUUCCCGGGCCUU